CUAAAACGGUGGUUAGGCUUUCUCUUUCUUACCCAGAAUCUUAGCUGGAAAGAAGACUGCAGUCCUGUAGCAGUUGGCAGCCAAGGAUCUCAAAGAACUUUAUGCAUCGCUUAUCCUUGUUUUGCAAAAGACCAGUUACCUAAAGCUUCGGCACCGGGUGGGGGAUAGAUGUUUAGGUAUAUUUACACCAUUAGUCGGUUACAGGGAAACAAAAGCCUCAAAACCUGUGGGUUAGCGGUUUCCUCCUCCAUCUAAAGCCCCUUCUCGUCGUAGUCUCUCAGCAACGAAAAUUCUUUAAUUUGUCCAGCUCUACAAGGCCAAAGAGACAGGUUUGUCUUCCACCCCAAGGUCCUUCUGGGGCAGCUGGUUAGAUAAACGCAGAGCUCGGAGCCCUGCCUGGGAACGAAGCUUCAGAGAACAAAUUGCCAUUUAAAGCUGUUGGGCUAGACCUGCCUCUUGCAAAGCUACAAAUGAAUUCAGGAUUUUGGUGUUCACGUUCUGGGGAGAGUAAGCAGAUGUAACUGGGGGAAACUCAAGCUUUCAGGGUGUGGAGGGGGACAGACAAGUGGGAGAGUAAGGUCUCCAGAGGGGCUAGCAGCGCUCAUGCUGGUCGAAGGCGGGUUCCGACGCGAGACACCCCGAAACCUGCUCCCCUGUGAGACAAAGGCAGGUGCCGAGCGAGAGCCUGAUUGGUGCCGGAUGCUCCCCGGCGUCCUCCGGGCCCCGAAGAUUUCUUGCUCUGCCCACUGGGGCCGAAUUCCGUGCACACUGGAACCCCAGCUCCCCACCCGGCCCUGGCUGAAACCACACAGGACUGUGCGUUAUGACAUCACCUGUUUUCGCGCUGGAGAACGCGAUCAGUAUUCUCGGCUUCUGCUUUUCUUAAAGGUCGCUAGCGUACGAGGAUCUAUGAAGGCCUGCAGUUGGCAGAAUGAGUCUGUGCAGAUGAUUUAGACGAAUGAUUUCACUGCUAAAAUUCUUUCACAGUGAAGUCCGUUAAGUUCUUCAAUAACCCAGAGAAGAAGGCCAAGAGAGGCCAGCCUCGUACAGUUGUACCUUCUAAAAAAGAUUGCUGAAAGGAGAUUUUAGAAGAAUCUCUUCAUUGAUCCGUGGUCAUGUACAUGUAUGUGACCAAAUGAUGCCCCUUUCCUCCAAAAUUUUAUAAAACUAAUUGUCUACACUGUCAUUUAUUUGGCAGUCAACCAUGUAACAUUUCUCUUGUUGAAUCACCAUAUAUGUGUAAUAUUUCUUCUAUUGAGCCACAAUAUGUGUUUAUGUCCCAUCUCUGAACUUUCCAAUCCAGUAACUCAUUCUCAAUACACAAUGACCAUCAUUUCCUCCGGUUUCUCACACCCUCAAUUCCAUCAUCCUUCUUCUCCCCUCCCCUGGUAAUGUUCAGCUUCUGGACUCUUCCUUUCUUUUCCAUCCCUCACCUGGCCUCUUUUUCUUUCCCAGCCAGCCUGGAUACUAGGAGACUGUGACUUAGAAAAUAAGUGACUUGCAAAUCCUGGACCUCAUUGUUAGUUAGAGAGAAGGAAACAAAAGCCCAUUCUUUGAACUUGUUCUGAGUAAGGAAAAACUCCACCCCUUUCGUUGUCUGGUUGCCUAAAACAAGAAAGAACAUUAGGAAAGUAAGACAGUGGUGAAAAUUAACAACCAAUAUUGAGCACUCUUUUUUAAGUUUUUAAUUACAAAUUGAGAAUGAUACUUCAUUAAACGUUUUACACCGUUUAAAAAUAAUUUUUGCUUGUUUUGAACUAUUUUUUCAAGUGUGACCUUUUUCCCCCUAGUCGUACAUAAAAUCACACGGCUUGGAUGUACCAUAAAUUAUUUA
ensembl:lncRNA